UCGGGGGCAGAGUGACAGGUGGUGCAUGGUUGUCGUCAGCUCGUGUCGUGAGAUGUUGGGUUAAGUCCCGCAACGAGCGCAACCCUUGAUCUUAGUUGCCAGCAUUCAGUUGGGCACUCUAAGGUGACUGCCGGUGACAAACCGGAGGAAGGUGGGGAUGACGUCAAAUCAUCAUGCCCCUUAUGACCUGGGCUACACACGUGCUACAAUGGGCAGAACAAAGGGCAGCGAAGCCGCGAGGCUAAGCCAAUCCCACAAAUCUGUUCUCAGUUCGGAUCGCAGUCUGCAACUCGACUGCGUGAAGCUGGAAUCGCUAGUAAUCGCGGAUCAGCAUGCCGCGGUGAAUACGUUCCCGGGCCUUGUACACACCGCCCGUCACACCACGAGAGUUUGUAACACCCGAAGUCGGUGAGG
rnacentral:rRNA from 1 species